AGACAGAAGCCAGGGGGCUCUGUGCCAAGAGGGCACAUAGAGUUGAUAGCAACAGUGUAACAUCUGCAAGGGAUGCGACAUGAUAAGGGAAGGUUAGAGUCAU